GAAUAAUGUAACAAUUAGCAGCUUUGUAAGUGCUUAUUGCUUUUCCAUGAAAUAUUGGCAGUGAUUGGAAGAAAUAAUGCCCAAUUGUUUAUGAUGAUUUUCACUACAUAGUUUUUUUAUUAUCAUGAUUUUCAUUUGUUAUAUUAUAUUAGAUAGGGGAGUUGUCAUAUUUUGUAUACUGGCUAAUACUGCUAUUAGAUUUGUUCUGUAUUCAUAGGAUGUUAUGCCAACAUAGUACGUCAAUGUAGUAAUCUUGGCGUAGUAACGUCAACAUAGUGAUGUCACCAUAGCAUGAUAUGUCAAUUGAGUUAUGUCAAAAUAUCAACAUAGUAAUGUCGGCAUAGUUAUUCCAACAUAUAUGGAAGAUGACUGACAUAAAAAAUCUGAGGAGUUUAUUUAUAAUUAUUGUAAAUCUUAAAUUGAACUGAAUAUCAUGUUUAUAAGGAGGCAAUGUAUUGAUAUAUAUCUUUGUUUUGCAUUUAAUGCACCAUUUUAUAUUUUUGUACAUGUUUUAUGACUGCCAAAUUCCAAUUCUUUCUUAAAGUAUAUCCAUUGUCUCUUCUUAUAACGAUACAUUGUAUUAUUUUCUGAGAAUUGACAUCAUUCUAUAAUUAUCAUAAUAGGGACUCUGUUUUCUCCAGUUAGCAGAGAAACUCUAUGAUUCUACAAGAACGAUCAUUUAUUAGAUUACUAGACGUAUCUCACAUACUGUUUGCUGGUAUCCAUUGCUUAGCAGAGAAAUUGUAUGAUUCUACAAGAACGGUCAUUUAUUAGAUUACUAGACGUAUGUAUUUCACAUACUGUUUGCUGGUAUCCAUUGCUUAGCAGAGAAACUCUAUGAUUCUACAAGAACGGUCAUUUAUUAGAUUACUAGACGUAUGUAUUUCACAUACUGUUUGCUGGUAUCCAUUGCUUAGCAGAGAAAUUGUAUGAUUCUACAAGAACAGUCAUUUAUUAGAUUACUAGACUUAUGUAUUUCACAUACUGUUUGCUGGUAUCCACUGCCAUUGUUAAUGGAUAACAGGAAAACUGGCAGUUUCAAACGGGAGUAAAUCUAGCAUCCAUCUACCAUCCUUCAUACUUUUUGGGGGGUUGGUUUUCAGUCAUGCACGAAUUUAACUAUCAUCAUUGAGAAUUAAUUUAUCACUUUGUGAAUUUCAAUGCAUUUCAUGAUUUUAUUUCUAUUACAAUGUAAACACGUAGUCAACCUGUCCAUGUAAGAUGUGAUUGAGAACUAAAGAUGUCAAUCG
rnacentral:misc_RNA from 1 species